GCCUCGUUGGCGCAGUAGGCAGCAGCGUCAGUCUCAUAAUCUGAAGGUCGUGAGUUUGAGCCUCACACGAGGCA